rnacentral:rRNA from 1 species
CAACUGAAGAGUUUGAUCAUGGCUCAGAUUGAACGCUGGCGGCAGGCUUAACACAUGCAAGUCGAGCGGAAACGAUCCUAGCUUGCUAGGAGGCGUCGAGCGGCGGACGGGUGAGUAAUGCAUGGGAAUCUGCCCGAUAGUGGGGGACAACCUGGGGAAACUCAGGCUAAUACCGCAUACGUCCUACGGGAGAAAGCAGGGGAUCUUCGGACCUUGCGCUAUCGGAUGAGCCCAUGUCGGAUUAGCUUGUUGGUGAGGUAAUGGCUCACCAAGGCGACGAUCCGUAGCUGGUCUGAGAGGAUGAUCAGCCACACUGGGACUGAGACACGGCCCAGACUCCUACGGGAGGCAGCAGUGGGGAAUAUUGGACAAUGGGCGAAAGCCUGAUCCAGCCAUGCCGCGUGUGUGAAGAAGGCCUUCGGGUUGUAAAGCACUUUCAGCGAGG